rnacentral:rRNA from 1 species
GCGAACGGGUGAGUAACGCGUAGGAAUCUGCCUGAUAGUGGGGGAUAGCCCGGGGAAACCCGGAUUAAUACCGCAUACGCCCUACGGGGGAAAGGCCGGGAUCUUCGGACCGGUCACUAUUGGAGGAGCCUGCGUAGGAUUAGCUAGUUGGUGAGGUAAAGGCUCACCAAGGCGACGAUCCAUAGCUGGUUUGAGAGGAUGAUCAGCCACACUGGGACUGAGACACGGCCCAGACUCC